rnacentral:rRNA from 1 species
AGCAGCCGCGGUAAUUCCAGCUCCAAUAGCGUAUAUUAAAGUUGUUGCAGUUAAAAAGCUCGUAGUUGAAUUUCGGGGUCAGCAGGUUGGUCGUGCCAAUGGUAUGCACUGGCCUUGGUGAUUCCUCCCUCUUGUAGAACCGUAAUGCCAUUAAGUUGGUGUUGCGGGGAAACAGGACUGUUACUUUGAAAAAAUUAGAGUGUUUAAAGCAGGCUAACGCCUGAAUACAUUAGCAUGGAAUAAUGAAAUAGGACGAUCGAUCCUAUUUUGUUGGUUUCUAGGAUUGACGUAAUGAUUAAUAGGGAUAGUUGGGGGCAUUAGUAUUCAAUUGUCAGAGGUGAAAUUCUUGGAUUUAUUGAAGACUAACUACUGCGAAAGCAUUUGCCAAGGAUGUUUUCAUUAAUCAAGAACGAAAGUUAGGGGAUCGAAGACGAUCAGAUACCGUCGUAGUCUUAACCAUAAACUAUGCCGACUAGGGAUCGGAUGAUGUUAAUUUUUAAUGACUCAUUCGGCGCCUUAC